rnacentral:rRNA from 1 species
UACGUAGGGGGCAAGCGUUGUCCGGAUUUAUUGGGCGUAAAGAGCUCGUAGGCGGCCUGUUGCGUCCGCUGUGAAAUCCCGGGGCUCAACCCUGGGCGUGCAGUGGAUACGGGCAGGCUGGAGGCAGGCAGGGGAGAACGGAAUUCCCGGUGUAGCGGUGAAAUGCGCAGAUAUCGGGGGGAACACCGGUGGCGAAGGCGGAUCUCUGGGCCGAUACUGACGCUGAGGAGCGAAAGCGUGGGGAGCAAACGGG